UCAUGAUAUUUAAAUUGUUUACAGUGAUUAAGACAUUAAAUGAUUGAUUUCAAUAGCAGAAUGGAAUUAAGAGUAAUAAUAAAAUAAUCAAAAGGUGAAUAUAUAACUACAAUGUAUCACGCCGCUUCAUGACUUCAGUGUGGCCUCGCUUUUCUCCUGAACACAUAUUCGUUAUAAAAUAGAAACGAAAUUCAACUGAAAUCAAGAACUGAGAAAACGAGUUAAUGUAAAGCAUGCAAACCAUUCAACUGAACCUGGUCUGAAAGAUUUCGGUUCUCAGUUGAUUGGGUGCUUCAUUCGUGGCAACAAACUUCGUCAACAAUUUGCUUCUAGUUUAUAUUUGUUAUAUUCCAGAUAUUUGUUUAAAGGAAUGCUAGAUACAAGUUCUUACGCAUUGCUGAAACAGCAUCUUUUGAUUUCUCGAACAUAUUACAUUUCAAUUUUUGUUUAAUGGUUUUAAAAUAAAUAGAUGUCGAAGUUGGAUAGGUCCUGGUACCGAGACCUGUUUCACUUUAUAGUGCCUAUAUUUUGAGCCCGGGCUUCCAGCCGACAUGAAAAGCUACGGUACUUCUGAAAAGCAGUAGUUAAGCUCUUUCAUCUGAUAUCCCACAUGAUUAUCUAUCAAGACCUUGAAGUGUGUUAGAGCAUUUCAUUCAAAACUGUAAUGGUACAUUCAGGUCAUAUCACUAAUUGCAUGUAAAGUGAUUCCCCGACUGUCCGUUUUCUUCAAAGUUCAUGAAAAUAGAUUCAGCCAUUCUGGCUGACCGGCAUCUUUUUUCUAGAAUACUGAACUGGAUUUGAUAUGUUAUAUCCUGGGACAUCGAAUGCACUUGAUGGGUUGGAAGUUGCAGAGCAGUAGAAGUGGAGAAACGUUCGGAUGAAUAAAUAACUGAAUAUUGUGUGGAACUUUCGCAUGCUCUCUAUAGCAACGAAUUUGCCCGAGGAGACUAUAAUUUAAAAAUGUGAUAAAACGGUUAUAAUGAUGCUACUUUAUCAACAUCAAUUACAACUAACGAUCUACGACCAAAGCCACCUGACCUACUCACAACUUCUAACAAUUUAGCUGUAAAUAAAAAUGGAGUGGCAGCCAGAAGUGAUAACUCAAGCCUGAAUAACUGUGACUGUAAAAAUGUCAUCCAAUGUUGUUCUUUGCCAGUAAAACUUGUCACAUGACUUUUUUCAGGUUUUUCGGUUAG